rnacentral:lncRNA from 1 species
GAUGGGUGUCAAUGGAGAAAAUAUGGCCAAAAAAUGGCUAAAGGAAACCCUUGUCCACGAGCCUAUUAUCGCUGCACAAUGGCUGUGGGUUGCCCUGUUCGCAAACAAGUAUGUAUUAUAUAUAUAUUAUAUCAAUUAAAAUAAUCAUCUAAUUAUAUAUAUAUAUAUAUGUAUAUAUAUAUAUAUCUAAAUAAAAAUGUCAUAUUUGUUUUAGGUUCAACGUUGUGCUGAAGAUAGGACUAUAUUGAUAACUACUUACGAAGGCAACCACAACCACCCACUUCCGCCGGCGGCGAUGGCGAUGGCGUCAACCACGACAGCGGCGGCUACUAUGUUAUUAUCAGGGUCUAUGUCAAGUGCGGACCAUAACUUAAUGAACCCAAAUUUAUUAGCCCGAGCCAUACUUCC